ensembl:misc_RNA Metazoa_SRP Metazoan signal recognition particle RNA
GCCGGGCGCAGUGGCGCGUGCCUGUAGUCCCAGCUACUCGGGAGGCUGAGGAGGGAGGAUCACUUGAGCCCAGGAGUUCUGGGCUAUAGUGCGCUAUGCCCAUUGGGUGUCCGCACUACGUUCGGCAUCAACAUGGUGACUUCCUGGGAGUGGGGGACCACCAGGUUGCCUAAGGAGGGAUGAACCAGCCCAGGCCGGAAACGGAGCAGGUCCAAACUCCGGUGCUGAUCAGUAGUGGGAUCGCGCCUGUGAAUAGCCACUGCACUCCAGCCUGGGCAACAAAGCGAGACCAUGCCUCUU